UACGUAGGGGGCAAGCGUUAUCCGGAUUUACUGGGUGUAAAGGGGGCGCAGACGGCAGUGCAAGCCAGGAGUGAAAGCCCGGGGCCCAACCCCGGGACUGCUCUUGGAACUGCAAAGCUGGAGUGCAGGAGGGGCAGGCGGAAUUCCUGGUGUAGCGGUGAAAUGCGUAGAUAUCAGGAGGAACACCGGUGGCGAAGGCGGCCUGCUGGACUGUGACUGACGUUGAGGCCCGAAAGCGUGGGGAGCAAACAGG
rnacentral:misc_RNA from 1 species